CGGAAGGUGGCUCCUUCACCUCCGUGGCUCCUUCCCCGGCACCACCUUCUACGCUGAGUAUCAGCUUCUCACACACUAUCCAGACCAUCUAUCUAGUCAUAGAAAGUGGAUGAACUGAAUCAGAAAACGAGGAAGCUGAGAAAGAGAGUUACAAAGAAAUAGAGCCAUAUUUGCUUGGUUCCCUUGGGAAAGAGGCCUGUCUUCUUUGCAUUUCCCUUUUUUCAGCUGCUCUCCGCCUGACGGGUAGGAGAUGUGCACCGUGGUGGGAGGGAUGUGCAAGAUGCCCCCUACGUGGUACUCAGUGUUUUUCCUAGCUGAGAAAGAAAACUGGCCUGCCAAGCCUGUGAGAAGCAAGACACUUGGACAGUUUGGCACCUGCCGCUAUUCUUUAUGCCCACCUUAUUUCCAAAGACUGUUUGUUUUGAAAGAUAAAAAGCUGCUAACACACCACCAAGGAAGAAGGCUCCACAAGCAUUAUCCACACUGCAGGCAGUAUCUUUAAAACAAUGUGACGUGUA